UACGAAGGGGGCUAGCGUUGCUCGGAAUCAUUGGGCGUAAAGCGCACGUAGGCGGUUUGUUAUGUCGGAUGUGAAAGCCCUUGGCUCAACUAAGGAAGUGCAUCCGAAACUGACAAGCUAGAGUACUAAAGAGGGUCGCGGAAUUCCCGGUGUAGAGGUGAAAUUCGUAGAUAUCGGGAGGAACACCGGUGGCGAAGGCGGCGACCUGGGUAGAUACUGACGCUGAGGUGCGAAAGCGUGGGGAGCAAACAGG
rnacentral:rRNA from 1 species